rnacentral:rRNA from 1 species
CGCGUAGGCGGUAUCUUAAGUCAGAGGUGAAAACUGUGGGCUCAACCCACAGCCUGCCUUUGAAACUGGGAGACUUGAGGGCAGGAGAGGGGAGUGGAAUUCCCAGUGUAGCGGUGAAAUGCGUAGAUAUUGGGAGGAACACCAGUGGCGAAGGCGGCUCUCUGGCCUGUUUCUGACGCUGAGGCGCGAAAGCGUGGGGAGCAAACGG